rnacentral:lncRNA from 1 species
UUUUUUUUUUUUUUUUUUUUUUUUUUUUUGCUUUUUAGGGCCGCACCCCCAGCAUAUGGAAGUUCCCAGGCUAAGGGUCAAAUUGGAGCUACAGCUCCUAGCCUACACCACAGCCACAGCCACAGGGGAUCCAAGCCGUGUCUGCAACCUACACCACAGCUCAUGGCAACAAUGGAUCCUUAACCCACUGUGCAAGGGCAGGGAAUGAACCUGAAUCCUCAUGGAUACUAGUCUGAUUCAUUUCUGCUGCACCAUGAUGGGAACUCCCUUUUUUCCUUCCUUCCUUCUAUCUCUUGACCUUCCCAAAGCUUUGAGUCUUCAGCUUUUCUAUGGACUUUGGAGUGUCGUAUCCUUUCAAAUAACUGUUGUAGUUAUUAACUAAUAAUCCUAUUUGCAAAUAAAACUUCUUCUAUGUUGCUUUUUUUAUUUAAUGAUUUUUAUUGUUUUCCAUUAUAGCUGGUUUACACUGUGCUGUCAAUUUUCUACUGUACAGCAAGGUGACCCAGUUACACGUACAUAUAUACAUUCCUUUUUCUCACAUUAUAAUGCUCCAUCGUAAGUGAUUAGGUAUAGCUCCCAGUGCUAUACAGCAGGAUCUCAUUGCUUAUCCACUCCAAAGGCAACAGUUUGUAUCUAUUAACCCCAAAUCCUCAGUCCAUCCCACUCCCUCCCCCUCCUCCUUACCAACCACAAGUCUGUUCUCCAUGUCCAUGAUUUUCUUUUGUCUAAAGGUUCAUUUGUGCCAUAUAUUAGAUUCUAGAUAUGUGAUAUCAUAUGGCAUUUGUCUUUCUCUUUCUGACUUGCUUAACUUAGUAUGAGAGUCUCUAGUUCCAUCCAUGUUUCUGCAAAUGGCAUUAUUUUUUUAUGGCUGAGUAGUAUUCCAUUGUGUAUACAUACCACAUCUUCUUAAUCCAUUCAUCUGUUGAAGGGCAUUUAGGUUGUUUGCAUGUAUUGGCUAUUGUGAAUAGUGCUGCAAGGAACAUGCAGGUGUGUGUGUCUUCUUCAAGGAAAGUUUUGUCCAGAUAUAUGCCCAAGAGUAGGAUUGCUGGGUCAUAUGGUAGUUUUAUACUUAGUUUUCUGAGGUACCACAAUACUGUUUUCCAUAGUGGUUGUAACAAUUUAUAUUCCCACCAAUGGUGCAGGAGGGUUCCCUUUUUUCAACACCCCCUCCAGCAUUUGUUCUUUAUGGACUUAUUAAUGAUGGCCAUUAUGACUGGUGCGAGGUGGUAUCUCAUGGUAGUUUUGAAUGGAUUUCUCUAGUAAUCAGUGAUGUUGAGCAUUGUUUCAAGUGCUUGUUGGACAUCUGUAUAUCUUCUUUGGAGAAAUGUCUAUUCAGGUCUUUUGCCCAUUUUUCCAUUGGGUUGUUGGCUUUUUUGCUGUUGAGUUGUAUAAGUUGUUUGCAUAUUUUAGAGAUUAAGCUCUUGUCAGUUGCAUCACUUGAAACUAUUUUCUCCCAUUCUGUAAGUUGUCUUUUUUUUUUUUUUUUGUCUUUUUGCCAUUUCUUGGGCCGCUCCCACAGCAUAUGGAGGUUCCCAGGCUAGGGGUCUAAUUGGAGCUGUAGCUGCCAGCCUAUGCCAGAGCCACAGCAACCAAUAUGGGAUCCAAACAGUGUCUGCAACCUACACCACAGCUCACGGCGACACACUCAGUCAUCAAGGUCAGGGAUCGAACACACAUCCUCAUGGAUACUAGCCAAGUUCACUACAGCUGAGCCACAACAGCAACUCCCCAUGAAUAACUUUAUAUUAAAUGUCCACUUAUAAGCCACUGUAGUGGUCACCAUGAGUGGAACAAGACCAAAAGAGCCUUGAUGCUAUCACCAUAUCCAAAGAUCUUGAUAAAAGACUUUGUCACACAGUGUAAGUUUAUAAAAGGCAAGUAUUCAAUAGGAUUUUGUGUGUGUGUGUGUGUGUGUUUUAAGGGACCAACAGAUUUGGUUCUCAUCAGGAAGUUCCCAGUUUGUUUGUAACCAAAGGAGAAGUGAAAAUUCAGAGAGGUAAAUUUUAUUGUUUCCUUGAAAGUUACAAAAUUACUUUGACAGAGAAAUGUAAUUAGCAUUUCAAAUGCACUAUUCAGUUAAUAUAAAAUUAUUAUUAUUUUUACUGCUGCACCUGCAGCAUAUGGAAGUUCCUGGGCCUGGGAUUGAAUCUGAGCCCCAGCUGUGGCAACACUGGAUCCUUAACCCACUGCACUGGGCCAGGGAUCCACAGCAACCUGUGCCAGUACAGUUGGAUUCUUAGUCCAC